AGAUUGAACGCUGGCGGAAUGCUUUACACAUGCAAGUCGAACGGCAGCACGGGACUCAGGCAACUGAGCCCUGGUGGCGAGUGGCGAACGGGUGAGUAACAUAUCGGAACGUACCCAGUCGUGGGGGAUAACUCUCCGAAAGGAGAGCUAAUACCGCAUACGUCCUGAGGGAGAAAGCGGAGGACCUAAGGGUAACUGAGGGCCUCGCGCGAUUGGAGCGGCCGAUAUCGGAUUAGCUAGUUGGUGGGGUAAAGGCUCACCAAGGCGACGAUCCGUAGCGGGUCUGAGAGGACGACCCGCCACACUGGAACUGAGACACGGUCCAGACUCCUACGGGA
rnacentral:rRNA from 1 species